rnacentral:rRNA from 1 species
GCGAAUCGCCCUUCGGGGUGCAGCAGGCGCGAAAACUCUACAAUGCAGGCAACUGCGAUAGGGGAACAUCGAGUGAUCCUCAUAUUGGGGGUCUGUCCCACCGUCUAAAAAACGGUGGUUAGCAAGGGCCGGGCAAGACCGGUGCCAGCCGCCGCGGUAAUACCGGCGGCUCGAGUGGUGGCCGAUAUUAUUGAGUCUAAAGGGUCCGUAGCCGGCUUUGCAAGUCUCUCGAGAAAUCCAGCGGCUUAACCGUUGGUCGUCCGGGGGGUACUACAUUGCUUGGGACUGGGAGAGGUAGGAGGUACUCAGGGGGUAGGAGUGAAAUCCUGUAAUCCUCUGGGGACCACCGGUGGCGAAGGCGUCCUACCAGAACAGGUCCGACGGUGAGGGACGAAAGCUAGGGGCACGAACCGGAUUAGAUACCCGGGUAGUCCUAGCCGUAAACGAUGCCCGCUAGGUGUCACAACAGUCGUGAACUGUUGUGGUGCCGUAGGGAAGCCGUGAAGCGAGCCACUUGGGAAGUACGACCGCAAGGUUGAAACUUAAAGGAAUUGGCGGGGGAGCAC